rnacentral:rRNA from 1 species
GACGAACGCUGGCGGCGUGCUUAACACAUGCAAGUCGAACGGAAAGGCUCCAGCUUGCUGGAGUACUCGAGUGGCGAACGGGUGAGUAACACGUGGGUAAUCUGCCCUGCACUCUGGGAUAAGCCUGGGAAACUGGGUCUAAUACUGGAUAUGACCUUUCUCCUUAUGGGGUUUGGUGGAAAGUUUUUCGGUGUAGGAUGAGCCCGCGGCCUAUCAGCUUGUUGGUGGGGUGAUGGCCUACCAAGGCGACGACGGGUAGCCGGCCUGAGAGGGUGAUCGGCCACAUUGGGUCUGAGAUACGGCCCAGACUCCUACGGGAGGCAGCAGUGGGGAAUAUUGCACAAUGGGCGGAAGCCUGAUGCAGCGACGCCGCGUGAGGGAUGACGGCCUUCGGGUUGUAAACCUCUUUCAGCAGGGACGAAGCGUAAGUGACGGUACCUGCAGAAGAAGCACCGGCUAACUAUGUG